AUUGAACGCUGGCGGCAGGCUUAACACAUGCAAGUCGAGCGGGGUGAUGGUGCUUGCACUAUCACUUAGCGGCGGACGGGUGAGUAAUGCUUAGGAAUCUGCCUAUUAGUGGGGGACAACAUCUCGAAAGGGAUGCUAAUACCGCAUACGUCCUACGGGAGAAAGCAGGGGAUCACUUGUGACCUUGCGCUAAUAGAUGAGCCUAAGUCGGAUUAGCUAGUUGGGGGGGUAAAGGCCUACCAAGGCGACGAUCUGUAGCGGGUCUGAGAGGAUGAUCCGACACACUGGGACUGAGACACGGACCAGACUCCUACGGGAGGCAGCAGUGGGGAAUAUUGGACAAUGGGGGGAACCCUGAUCCAGCCAUGCCGCGUGUGUGAAGAAGGCCUUAUGGUUGUAAAGCACUUUAAGCGAGGAGGAGGCUCUUUUGGUUAAUACCCAAGAUGAGUGGACGUUACUCGCAGAAUAAGCACCGGCUAACUCUGUGCCAGCAGCCGCGGUAA
rnacentral:rRNA from 1 species